GGGUGUCUCUCGCAUGGUGCGGGAAGGCAGGUUUCUUGCGUUGGUCGGGCCGCCACG
rnacentral:ncRNA from 1 species